GAUGAACGCUGGCGGCGUGCCUAAUACAUGCAAGUCGAGCGAACAGACGAGGAGCUUGCUCCUCUGACGUUAGCGGCGGACGGGUGAGUAACACGUGGAUAACCUACCUAUACGACUGGGAUAACUUCGGGAAACCGGAGCUAAUACCGGAUAAUAUAUUGAACCGCAUGGUUCAAUAGUGAAAGACGGUUUUGCUGUCACUUAUAGCUGAAUCCGCGCCGCAUUAGCUAGUUGGUAAGGUAACGGCUUACCAAGGCGACGAUGCUUAGCCGACCUGAGAGGGUGAUCGGCCACACGGGAACUGAGACACGGUCCAGACUCCGACGGGAGGCAGCAGUAGGGAAUCUUCCGCAAUGGGCGAAAGCCGGACGGAGCAACGCCGCGUGAGGGAUGAAGGUCUUCGGAUCGUAAAACUCUGUUAUUAGGGAAGAACAAAUGUGUAAGUAACUAUGAACGUCUUGACGGUACCUAAUCAGAAAGCCACGGCUAACUACGUG
rnacentral:rRNA from 1 species